rnacentral:rRNA from 1 species
GACGAACGCUGGCGGCGUGCUUAACACAUGCAAGUCGAACAAAGAGCGAUGGAAGCUUGCUUCUAUCAAUCUUAGUGGCGAACGGGUGAGUAACGCGUAAUCAACCUGCCCUUCAGAGGGGGACAACAGUUGGAAACGACUGCUAAUACCGCAUACGAUCUGACCUCGGCAUCGAGGAUAGAUGAAAGGUGGCCUCUAUUUAUAAGCUAUCACUAAAGGAGGGGAUUGCGUCUGAUUAGCUAGUUGGAGGGGUAACGGCCCACCAAGGCGAUGAUCAGUAGCCGGUCUGAGAGGAUGAACGGCCACAUUGGGACUGAGACACGGCCCAGACUCCUACGGGAGGCAGCAGUGGGGAAUCUUCCGCAAUGGACGAAAGUCUGACGGAGCAACGCCGCGUGAGUGAUGACGGCCUUCGGGUUGUAAAGCUCUGUUAAUCGGGACGAAAGGCCUUCUUGCGAAUAGUUAGAAGG